rnacentral:rRNA from 1 species
AUUGAACGCUGGCGGCAUGCUUUACCCAUGCAAGUCGAACGGUAACAGGUUCAGCUGACGAGUGGCGAACGGGUGAGUAAUGCAUCGGAACGUGCCCGACCGUGGGGGAUAACGCAGCGAAAGCUGCGCUAAUACCGCAUACGAUCUGAGGAUGAAAGCGGGGGACCGUAAGGCCUCGCGCGGUCGUGUCGGCCGGUGUCAGAUUAGGGAGUUGGUGGGGUAAAGGCUCGCCAAGCCAACGAUCUGUAGCUGGUCUGAGAGGACGACCAGCCACACUGGGACUGAGACACGGGCCAGACUCCGACGGGAGGCAGCAGUGGGGAAUUUUGGACAAUGGGCGAAAGCCUGAUCCAGAAAUGCCGCGUGCAGGAAGAAGGCCUUCGGGUUGUAAACUGCUUUUGUACGGAGCGAAAAGGUCCCCUCUAAUACAGGGGGCUCAUGACGGUACCGUAAGAAUAAGCACCGGCUAACUACGUGCCAGCAGCCGCGGUAAGAC